CGGGACGUGGCGCAGCCUGGUAGCGCACCGGCUUUGGGAGCCGGGGGCCGCGAGUUCGAAUCUCGCCGUCCCGA
rnacentral:tRNA from 2 species